AUUGAACGCUGGCGGCAGGCCUAACACAUGCAAGUCGAACGAGUGGCGGACGGGUGAGUAAUGUCUGGGAAACUGCCUGAUGGAGGGGGAUAACUACGGGAAACGGUAGCUAAUACCGCGUACCAUAAGAUGUGCCCAGAUGGGAUUAGCUAGUUGGUGGGGUAAAGGCUCACCAAGGCGACGAUCCCUAGCUGGUCUGAGAGGAUGACCAGCCACACUGGAACUGAGACACGGCCCAGACUCCUACGGGAGGCAGCAGUGGGGAAUAUUGCACAAUGGGGGCAAGCCUGAUGCAGCCAUGCCGCGUGAAUGAAGAAGGCCUUCGGGUUGUAAAGUUCUUUCAGCGGCGAGGCGUUACCCGCAGAAGAAGCACCGGCUAACUCCGUGCCAGCAGCCGCGGUAAUAC
rnacentral:rRNA from 1 species